GACGUAGGGGGCAAGCGUUGUUCGGAAUUACUGGGCGUAAAGAGUCUGUAGGUGGUUUGUCAAGUCUUUGGUGAAAGGCCGUAGCUUAACUAUGGGAAUGCCAAAGAGACUGGCAGGCUGGAGGCUGGGAGAGGGAAGCGGAAUUUCUGGUGUAGCGGUGAAAUGCGUAGAUAUCAGAAGGAAGGCCGGUGGCGAAGGCGGCUUCCUGGAACAGUCCUGACACUGAGAGACGAAAGCGUGGGGAGCAAACAGG
rnacentral:rRNA from 1 species